GUGUGUGCAUCUGAUAAUAUUUCCUCUAACUAUUGUAUCAUUUCAAUAGAAAUAAUGAUAAUGAUUCAUAUUUGUGAGAAUGUGAGGAAGAUAACAUUCGAACGAUCCUUCACUAUACUUUGAAUAAAUAAAUCACUCGAUUCAUUAAACUGGACCAUUAACGCACCCAAAAUGCAUAUCUGAAACAACCGGAACUUACUUUACUUGACUUACUUGAGGCAACAUUCACCUUGGGUGGGUUGAGUCGGCUUCUUCUACCACCCUCGAAGCAUCUCGAAGAAGUUUCGAAGCAGUGGAAGAAGUUUCGUGGGAAUAUGAAUUUCACAAGCGCUCCCCAACAAUCCCGCUUGUAGAGACAUCCUGUUUGCCGCAGAUUGUCCGCGGACGCAGGGACAGAAUGACCAAGGAGCCGCCUGUUGCCGAAACAGACACUCCGAGGAUUUUCACCAGAGCUCCGUCUGUCGGGUUGUGGACCUAAUAAAACUCGGUGUCAGACCAAUCCGCCUUGGGUGGCCCUACCAGGAACCGAAGUUCCCGACGGCAUAGCUCUAACACUACCUAUUUCUUUACUACCCUCAAGGGGCUAAACACAGAGAGGACAAACAAGGACAGACAAACGGUUUAAGUCGAUUAUAUCGACCCCAGUGCGUAACUGGUACUUAUUUAAUCGACCCCGAAAGGAUGAAAGGCAAAGUCGACCUCGGCGGAAUUUGAACUCAGAACGUAGCUGCAGACGAAAUACUGCUAAGCAUUUCGCCCGGCCUGCUAACGUUUCUGACAGCUCGCCGCCUUACCUGACUCUACCUGUUGCCAGCGUCCCCACUACGGUGAGGAGGGGAUGGACUUUGGGGACGCAAGCAACCGGAAGUCUAUAUAUAAUCUAAAACUAAACGUAGAAAGUCUAUUACUUAUGUCUAUUUGUGAUAAAUCACUGUAAAAGCACAACACCUUAACUCAGUAAUGUAACCAUGGAUUUUUACUGUUGAUGGACUUCAAAUUUGGUUUUUUGAUAUCAAACCCGAGACCUUUUGUUAGCCUUGUGUAUUUGUUUCUAGGCAAAAAAAGAAAAUGACUCUCCCCAGACACAGCAGAAUAUGCUUCAACACACGAACUCAUAAAAAGAAUCUUGCAAACCAAAUCCCAAAACGAAACAUUUCUAAAGAUAGCUAAAGAAGUAUUUUGCGUGUGUAUGUGUGUAUGUGUGUCUGUGUGUGUGUAUAAGAGUACGUGUGUGUGUGUGUAUAAGUGUACGUGUGUGUGUGUGUGUGCGUGCGUGUGUAUGUAUAAAUUCAUUUCUCAGUCGUUUUCGGUGUUCAUGCACCAAAAGAUACACAUACUCACUCAAAAGCACACACGCACACACACAUACACAUACAUACACAUUUACAUACACACUCGCACACACACACACACUUACACACACAUACAAGUAUAAGGUUGUCCCAAAAGUUCGUAGAAAGUCUUGGAAAAUAAUGGUCUUUAAUUUGAGGAAUAAUUUUUGUUGUUUUUGUUAGUAUUUGGCGAGUAAAAAUUCAAUUUUCGCAAGUGUUUACGAACUUUUGGGACAACCUAAUAUAUGUAAGCUUGAAUCAAGAUUAUUUUCGUUGCUUUUUCAAGCCACAAAACUACACCUCAGUGUUCUAUGGACGAUCUGGGGAAAACGCAAUUUCUCUCUCAGCUUCAUUUUCAUAUCCUAUGAUUAAGGCUAUUUGCCUUCUUUGCUGCCUUUACGGGCUCUUCUUCGUUCACGAACUCGAUUGCUGCCGUUGUUUUCCCCAGAUCAUGGUGUUUCUAAAGCCUUUCAUGUUCCAGGUUGUGAGCGAAUGCUGCGUGCAACUUGAUAUAAAAUAAACAGGAAUAUUACGUCUGGAACGCCUUUGAUUGUAGAUGAACACGACGAGUGGGGAUUAAAUGUUAAAAAUCAACACCAACAAGUCAUUUAACUCCCCCAAAAAACGGUAUAAAACACACCGUUGUAGAUUUCAGUGGUAGUGUCAUUAGGAAUGGUGUUGGUGGUAGCAGCAGCAGUAGUAGUAGUAAUAGUAGUGGUGGUGGUGGUGGUGGUGGUGGUGGUGGUGGUAGUAGUGUUGUUGUUGGUGGUGGUGGUGGUGGCGGUAAUAGUAGGUGGUGGUGGUGGUGGUGGUGGUAGUGGUGGUGGUGGUAGUGGUGGUGGUAGUGGUGGUGGUGGUGGUAGUAGUAGUAGUAGUAGUAGUAGUAGUUGUUGUUGUUCACAUCAGUUCUGAUCGAGAGCAGAUUUCUGGUCAAAGGAAUUAUCAUCAUGACUACCCACCACCUCUCUUGAAACACGAGCCAGUUUUUUCCUAAUUUCAUCGUUAUAAAACGGGACAUGUAAUUUGAAGAUGGCGCAGUUACUAUUUUCAGCAAAUCGCAAGACCAUAUAGAGCAGGCCUCACCAACACGAAUUACACUGCGGGUCACUUUAAUCACAGAAAGCUUUUGUUUUUUUUUUGAGGGCCGCUUGUGUACUGACAGAAUUGAAAGCACUUUGCUUUCUCAUACCAUUGGAUGGAUGGAAGCUCGUGAAAUUAACGUGUAAGUGGCUGAGCAUUCCACAGACACGUGUACCCUUAACGUAGUUCUCGGGGAUAUUCAGCAUGACACAGAGAGUGACAAGGCCGGCCCUUUGAAAUACAGGUACAACAGAAACAGGAAGUAAGAGUGAAAGAAAGUUGUGGUGAAAGAGUACAGCAGGGAUCACCACCAUCGCUGCCGGAGCCUCAUGGAGCUUUAGGUAUUUUCGCUCAAUAAACACUCACAACGCCCGGUCUGGGAAUCGAAACCGCGAUCCUACGACCGCGAGUCCGCUACCCUAACCACUGGGCCAUUGCGCCUCCACUCUCAUACCAUUAUUACAAUAAUGAAUGAAUAAUCGUUGAUUUAACAUGAAAUAUUAUCAUUGCAAAAACACUAGUAUCUUUCUUUUUUCCAUUUCCUUACAAUCUUUUUGCUAAAAUUUUUGCUAAAUUUUAAAAAAUGUUUGCUAAAAUUUUUGCUAAAAUUUUUGCUAAAAUCUUUGUUUAAAUAAAUCCAUUUCAAGAAAGUAUCAAGUGUGCCGCAAGAUAAAGGUCUACAGGCCACAUGCGGUCCGCGGGCCUCAGGCUGGCCAGCCUUGACAUAGAGGCUCAUUCAUUGUCUGCAAUCCGUCUUUGAUUUAAUAAGACAUUCUAUUCACACACAUAUUACGGGUUCCCUGCAACCGACCAAGGUUUUGUUUACUUGACAUGCUAAACUCGUAUCAUUAUAUGAUUAUAUGACUUGUCAAAGGAGAUGAACUCAGUUGGACUCAAUAGAGAUAAUUAAUUAUUCAGCAUAUUGUUGAUUAAGAAAACCAUUUAGUAAUUGAUUUUAAUUAUCUUAGAUUUAUGAGGCAAUUAUCUAUUGAUUAAUAAUAAUACAACUGAUUGAUAUGCUGAUUAUAACCAAACUGAACAUCAACCGUUCCAAUCAGCCCUGUCUCAGAGGACCUGCGACGGUAUGGUGUACUGGCUGUGAAUUAACACACACAUAUAAGCAUAUAUACAUACAGUCGUACCUGCACACACAUGCACACACACAAACACACACACACACACAUACAUACACACACACACACAAACGCACAGGCGCAUUAUCAUAUAUAUCAACUGAAAUAUACAUGCAUAUAUAUACAUGCAUAUAUGUGUGUGUAUGUAUAUAUAUAUAAACACAAAUUCAUUCAUACAUACAUAUAUAUGUAUUGGAGUGUGUGUGCGUGUAUGUGUGUGUGUGCGUAUGUGUGUGUGUGUAUAGGCUGUUGAGUCGUACUAAUUCUUGGAAUAAAGAUGGUAUGGUUAUCAAUGGAACAAUUUUGGUGUCAAAAUUGCUGAAUUAAUAUAAAUAUGUGUUUCCUUACAUAUGAAUAUAUAUAUACCUGCUGGGUGCGGUGAGUGUACUAUCGCCAUUUUAUAUUUUUAAAUUUUUAAUUUCUCGCAUGCGCAUUGUUUGUUUUGAAUUUUGUCGACUACACAGUAUAGUAGGGUCAGUUGAGCACCGUCUGUGAGAAAAACGGCACCAAUUCACGAGUAAUGGCGACGUUUUGCCUCCAUUCAUCUUCCUACACGGACACAAACUAAACACGGAGGCCUACAUAGAAUACCUGGAGGAGGUUGUGCUGCCCUGAGUCAAGAGGGUGGCUGGUGGAAGACCCUAUGUCUGACAACAGGACUCUGUACCAUGCCACACAAGCAGGAGAACCCAGUCAUGGCUAUCAGAUAAUUUCUGCGACCACAUCACCCCUAACAUCUGGCCACCUAACUCCCCAGACUGCAACUCCUUUGAUUAUUAUGUGUGGGGCGCAGUUGAGCGAGAGACCACCAAGAUUCCUUGUGACACCAAAGAUGAACUGAAGGCAAGGAUUAUGGCAACAUUCACCAACUUAGACAAGGAGACUGUCCAGAAGAGUUACAGGAGAGUUCCAAGUUGUCUGGAGAUCGUGGUUGAAGCUAAUGGCGAUUUUAUUGAAUAAAUUUACUCUUUAAUAUUUCAAGAUAUUUUUUAUAUAAUUUUGGUAAAUAUAUCUGUUAAAAUGAGAUGUCAGUGUUAUUUUCAUUUCUGCCUGCCUAAUUUAGACGACAGUUACUUCACCGCAGUCAGUAUAUAUAUAUAGAUUUGAUCAAUAUAUAUAUAUAUAUAUAUAUAUAUAUAUAUAUAUAUAUAUAUAUAUAUAUAUAUAUACAUUUGAACACUAUAAAAAUAUCGUUUUUACAGGUCGUUCAGCAAAAAAGUAAACAUUCAUCUGUCGUCUUCGACGGGAGAUUCUAUCAUUGGUAAAGAACAUUUUUGGAGUGGUCAACUUAAUUCAUUCAAUUAGAGUAUAUUGACUUUUUAGUCGAAACUCGGGAGUUUUCUUGAAGUUCAGUAUUCUGGUUGUGGUUCUAAAGGUUGAUAUAUAUUUUUUCAAGCAUGCAGAGACCGAAACACAUGUAAUUGUAUAUGUGUUAGUGAUUUUCACAAAAUUACUUUUUCCUGGAUGAGAAAACAUAUGUUUCUAAAUUUUUAUUGAAAUCUUGCUUGAGUUCAAAACGUUCAUUUUAAUACUUUCUUGUUUUAAAUCACUUCGCAGUUAUACCUAUGUAAUUAAUGCCUUUGCAGUUUAUGUUAGAUUUUAUUGAGCUGCAUAUAUAACUGAUUUUUCUAGCUCUAAUUAACUGUGCAUUCAUUUCGUAAGUAGCUGAAGUAUUUCAGUAAUCUAUUUGAUAUAUCGAACUUUAUCAUAACUUUUAUUAAUGAAUGUUAAUGUUUUGGCAAAAUUUGCUAAUGUAGAAUAGAAUAUCUUGAGAGAGCUCGGAUUAAGGUUGAUGUUCAUCCUUAUGUCAUUGUAUUUAAAGGAAGGCUCGGGAGUUACGUAUAAAAUGAAAGUAACACUUCCAAUUAUACUUAUACCUGGCGAGCUUAAAUUGAUUGAAAACGGUGGAUUAUACAACAUGGUCUUUCCAUUACAUCUCGUUCUAUUCCGCUUGCAUGUUUGUUCGAAAUCUUCAUAAGCUAGCCUAUUUUUAUAUAACUCUCUACUUUCUUUAACGCUACUUCAUCGUACAAGAUUUUUCAAAGUUGUUUCCUGGAACACAGGGUGUAUGAUUAGAAUUAUUGACGAUACACGAGAUAGUGCCGUUAGCUUUAAAGUAUGACUGAAAUUUUUCAUCAACGUUACAUUAAAAAAAUUAACUAUUUCGAAGUUACUACUGAUCUAAUUAAUACUUAUUGUAAUCUUUAGUUUACAGAACAGAUAUUAAUUUCCUCAGAUAUUUCUUGAAUUUAUAUCUGCUGUCUGAUUAUAUUUUUAAUGAUUAGCAACCCAUCGUCUCUAUAAAUUACUCUGUUGAUGGUGCUGAACCGAUAUUUUACAAAAUUUUUCUUGUUUCACUCAUUAGACUGCAACCAUUCUGGAGCAUCGACUUCAAAAAUUUUUAGUCGAAUGAACCGAUCACAGUACUUAUUUUUUUUAAAGUCAGGCACUUAUUCUGUCGGCCCUUUUUGCCGAACCGCUACGUUUUCGGGACGUAAAUACACCAACAUCAGUUGCCAUACGGUGGUGGUGGAGAAACAGACACAAAGACAUACAUACAUACAUACACACAUACAUACACACACACACACGCAUACACACACACACACACACACACACACACACACACACACACACACACACACACACACACACACACACACACACACACACACACACACACAUAUAUAUAUAUAUAUAUAUAUAUAUAUAUAUAUAUAUAUACGACGGGCUUCUUUAAUUUUCCGUACUAAAUCCAUUCUCUAUACUUUGUUUGCUCUGAUGCUAUAAUAGAAGAUACUUGCUCAAGGUACUGUGCAGCGGUUCUGAACCCGUAACCGUGUGGUUGGAAGUCAAACAUCUUUCCACACAGCCACUUCUGCGUGCAUGAUAGUUAACGAGCGAACAAUAUAGUCCAUUUAGAUUUGAAUUUUAUAUCUUUCUUGUUAUGGACCUCUGGAGUGCUUCCACUUUCAUAAUGAGUUGCUUUGUAUGAGGAGUACACAGUGGGCAACAGUACUCAAGGUAUGGUCGGGCAAAAGUAGAGUAGUGAAGGAUGAUGGUGUGGGCAUCUCUAGACCAGAAAUUUCUCAGAAUCCAGGAACUCAUCUUGCGGGCCAAGUCAACCUUUCUGUUUACGUGUGAACUCCAGCAUAGAUUGUUAUCAACAAUUACUCCAAGAUGUCUGGUGUUGUUGGAUGACAGUAGGGAAUCGCCCGAGAGCAUAUGGUAAUUUCAGAGUAUCCUCUUUUGCAAAGUGGAUCAAAUCAGGCUUAUCUUAAUUUAGAAGUAUAUUGUUUUUUCCGCCCAUUGUUCAACAGCAAACAGAUCCAACUGAAGGCAUGUUCGGUCUCCCAUACUGUUUAUGGCUUUCUGGAGUUUGCAAUCAUCUGCAAAGAUUUUCAAUGAAGUCUGUUUGAUGACGUCUACUAUGUCAUCGAUGUAGAUAAUGGAGAGGAGUGGGCCCAACUCAGUACCUUUUGGGACUCCACUACCGACUUUGGUUGAACUGGAUCGUAUUCCCUCACACACAACAUCUUGGGUUUUAUUCGUCCAGAAACACUUUAUCCACUACAUCAGCUUUCCACGGACUCCAAUGUUGGACAGUUUCCCCUCUGUCAAAUGCCUUGUGAAGUCAAGGUAUAUGACGUCAGUGUUGGAGCCCUCUCCCAAAGAUUUUAAGGUGUCACCAAAAUGGUGUAGAAGCUGCGACAGGCAGUCCCUGCCAUCGCGGAAACCACGAUGGUUGGGUUUCAGUAGAUUGUUGUCUUCGAGGAAGUGAGUUAUUCGCGAUUUCACCACCCUUUCAAAUACUUUAAUGCUAUGAGAGGUGAGUGAAAUCGGACGGUAGUUCAUUGCAAGAAAUUUACUUCCCUUUUUGAAGACUGGGACAACAGACUGGGAAAGAAAAUGAUAUGUUUCUCCAGAGCUCAGCAAAAAGGGUGCAAUUUAAUGCCGACACAUCUUCACACACACACACACGUCUUUCAGAAUGUGACCUCGUGUGUACCGUUGGCGAUUUUUUUCCUCAGUCUUCCCUUCUCUGGAUCUUUCCUUUUCCUAUGUUUCCGACGAAGAGCUCCGCUCGAAACGUUAAACCCUCCUUCUUUCCUUCUUUCGUGAGCGUCCAAUAAUACUAUACCUGUUCCACAUCCUCGCGUUGUUGUGUUUUUUUGUGUUUUCUUGUUUCGAUUAACUAUAUAUAUAUAUAUAUAUAUAUAUAUAUAUAUAUAUAUAUAUAUAUAUAUAUAUAUAUGUGUAUAUAUAUAUAUAUAAAUAUAUAAAUAUAUAUAUGAAUAAAUAUAUUAUAUAUAUAUAUAUAUAUAUAUAUAUAUAUGUAUGUAUAUAUACAUACAUACAUACAUACAUACAUACAUACAUACAUACAUACAUACAUACAUACAUAUAUACAUACAUAUAUAUAUAUAUAUAGAGAGAAAACUUACUUGGAAGAAGACGUGUGGCGUUCGAUCAUACAUACAUGCAUAUAUAUAUAUAUAUAUAUAUAUAUAUAUAUAUAUAUAUAUAUAUAUAUAUAUAUAUAUAUACACACACAACUAAUGUAGGAUAAAAUUUUUCGAAAAAAAUUUUUUAUCAAUGGCCAGCAUAUCAAAAAAUACCUUUAAAGGUUAAAUUUAUAAGUAACUUAUAAAAUAAGAGCAAAAGAAAAAUUCGAAUGCCAAAUUUGCCGAAAAAAGACAAAUUGUCGAAUAACCAUUAUAAUUUAUGCGUCUCGAAACAAGCCGACAGAAAUUUCUAAAAAUUUUCGUUAUUACCGUUUUGGUCCCAAUUUCAGAGUUAAUUCAUAAGAAUUUUCUCCUCCUCAGCGAUAAAUACGUAAGACAUAAAUGAAAUACCUACUCAUACUCAUGGAAAAAGCAAGCACUACGUCCCAGAUAUAUCCAAAAUAGAAAAUCUUCAGCACAUCUCGAGACACGUGUGAUUCGAACUAGAAACUUUCACAGAGUGAGAGAGUCCGGAAGUGAACACUAUUAAAUUUACAAAAUUUUAUCCUACAUUCGUCGUAGUCAUUCUUGUUGCUUAUUUUGAUUAUAUAUAUAUAUAUGUGUGUGUGUGUGUGUGUGUGUGUGUGUGUGUGGAGGCGCGUGGCUUAUUAGUUAGGGUGUCAGCGUCAUGAUCGUAAGAUUGUGGUUUUGAUUCCUGGACCAGGCGACGCGUUGUGUUCUUGAGCAAAGCACUUCAUUUCGCCUUGCUCCAGUCCACUCAGCUGGCAAAAGUGAGUAACGCUGCGAUAGACUGGCGUCCCGUCCAGCUGUGGAACACAUACACCAUAGAAACCGGGAAACCGGGCUCAUGUGCCUGGCUAGGCUUUAAAAGGACUCAUUUUUUAAAUUUAUAUAUAUAUAUAUAUAUACGCACAGACACAUACAUAUGCAUGCAUAUCUCUAUGUAUAUAUAAGUAUGUAUGUAUAUUAUUGUGCGUGUGCAUAUGCAUGUGUGUAUGCGCACGGGUGCGUGUAGUCGUGUUUAUGUUUGACAUCCCGUGUCAAACUUAGCGGUUCUGCAAAAGAGAUUGAGCAAUUAGCCAGUACCCAGCUGGUAAAAGAAUGAAUAAAAAAUGUACAGGAGUCGAUUCGCACGGCUAAAACCAUUCAACGCAUUGUUGUAUUAGGGCUGCAGUCCAAUAACUCAGACAAGUAAAAUAUAAAAGAUGGUUUACAUGAAGAAUUUAGAUUUUAAAAAAAAAAGAGAAAUAACGGCCAAAUUUGAUAAGGUAACAUAUAUUAAAUACAGGCCGCUGGUUGUUUUUUAGCCGUUAGCACAACCUCGGGCGUGUUUCUGCCUUAUUCGACUUCCUCGUCGAAGCUUCCUCAAAAUGCAAGCGUGAAGCUAUUACAAGAAUAGAGAAGUACAUAGGAUAAUUUGUGAAUGCUCAGAAUGCCUUAAUAAGAUAUGCUAUAAGGGAAAUAGAAAUAAUAUAUUUCGAAAUGGUAUUUACUCCCUUCUCUCUUUCUUUCUCUCUUACUCUCUUCCGUUCUCUUUCUCUCUCUAUCUAUCUCCACCUCUCCCAUUCUUUCUCUGUCACAAUUCAUCAAUAUUGUGCUAAAUAUCAGCCUAUAGAUGGCGACGUUAUCAGCAAAGCUGCUAUUGUAUUUGACAAGAUUGGCGGCAGUGACACACCUGCUCAUAGCAGUCGACUAAGCUGGACUGCCACGCCUUAAAGACCGCCUCUGUUCAUGAUAAUAAAUAAACGUACGGUGAAUAUACUGAGAUUUGUACAGGAUAUUUGUUCAAAAUAUAUUUUAGCCAUAUAGUGUAUGUUUUGAAUUGAAAAAUCUGGUUACAGAGACACAUAAAAUAUACUUAUGGGAGAAUGCCGACUAUGAAAAUAUAUUGACGAUCUGAGGAUAAAGACGAGCUUUGCAAAAUAAUAAUUGUACAAUUGUACAUAAAUGAUGGUUGACUAUAGGUAGGGGAUAGAGAAAGAGCACAGGA
rnacentral:lncRNA from 1 species